rnacentral:rRNA from 1 species
CGGUAAUUCCAGCUCUGUAAGCGUAUACCCAAGUUGUUGCAGUUAAAACGCUCGUAGUCGAAAGUUGGCGGGCGGCCUGGGGCGUCUUCACGGACGAUUCAGGCUGGCCGCCUUUGUGGAGGGGGGCCCAGCGGAGCUUCAUUGCGUCGUUGUGGUCGCUGCCACCGUUUACUGUGAAAAAAUUAGAGUGUUCAAAGCAGGCGUUUGCCAUGAAUACCUUAGCAUGGAAUAAUAGAAUAGGACCUGGAUUCCUGUUUUAUUGGUUUGUGAGGACUGGGUAAUGAUUAAGAGGGACGGUUGGGGGCAUUUGUAUUCCGGCGUCAGAGGUGAAAUUCUUGGAUUGGCGGAAGACAAACAGCUGCGAAAGCGUCUGCCAAGGACGUUUUCAUUGAUCAAGAACGAAAGUAAGGGGAUCGAAGACGAUCAGAUACCGUCGUAGUCUUUACUAUAAACGAUGAGGACUGGGGAUCGGACAGGACUGUACUUUGGCCUGUCCGGCACCCUUCGGGAAACCAAAGUGUUUGCUUUCUGGGGGGAGUAUGGUCGCAAGGCUGAAACUUAAAGGAAUUGACGGAAGGGCAUCACCGGGUGUGGAGCCUGCGGCUUAAUUUGAC